rnacentral:rRNA from 1 species
GACAGAGGAUGCAAGCGUUGUCCGGAUUUAUUGGGCGUAAAGAGCUCGUAGGCGGUUCAGUAAGUCAGGUGUGAAAUCUUUGGGCUUAACCCAAAGCGUGCACUUGAUACUGCUGUGACUUGAGUUCGGUAGGGGAGUGGGGAAUUCCUGGUGUAGCGGUGAAAUGCGCAGAUAUCAGGAGGAACACCGGUGGCGAAGGCGGGUCUCUGGGCCGAUACUGACGCUGAGGAGCGAAAGCGUGGGGAGCGAACAGG